UAUAUGUAGCACCUUUGCAUACAUAAUUGAGAAAAAAAUUCAAUCAUCUUGCUAGGCUUUUGUUUGAGUUGAUUAUAUUUUUGUUUGGUUUAUUACAACUAUUUGUAACAGGAAAAGUUGUCCAAGCCGUCUGAUGAUUUAAUUACUAGCUCCAACCCUUGAAUUAUUUUGAUAAUCUCUCUAAUUAGCAGUAGAUGUAUAUAGGAUCUGGUGUGAUGGUUGUUGUGGUUGUUCAUUCAUAUAUAUACAGAUUGGCCUCAGAGUGUGACAUGAAGAAUAGUCUAGGCUUGAAAGCGUCCCUGCGAGCUUGUUCUGACUCUAAAUUUGAUGUACAGGAAUAGUUGUCCAAGCCUGAUGAUGUUACUGCUACCUCCACAUUUCACCUCGCUCCGAGCGAUUCCUCCACUACAAGCCCAAAGCUUUAAAAAAGAAGAAGCAAUCAAAGCCAAAUCCAUCCACCACCUACGUCUGCAUUUUUUCUGCUUUACUUUUGCGAGUAUUUAUAACUUAUAUUACCUUUGCGAGUCUUUAUUACUUAAAAAAGACCUUGUGUUAUCCCUAAUAAAGACUUUUAU